rnacentral:misc_RNA from 1 species
AACGAGGCCGACCUGCGGCUGAGUUACCUGCGGAGGGAUCAUUAAUAAAUGCGUGUCAUUGCACUUGUGCUCUGGCCGUAAACUGUUGGUCUGGCAAGGAACGGAGCAAUCUGGUCCGCGCUAGUUUUCUCUCUUGGGAGGAAUUCAGUUUCAGGGUGACUGAGCCGUCAAUACUCUGACCUUUUUUAACUCCUAUGCCUGUAUUGUCUGAAUAUAAUAAAAAUUGAACAUACAACUUUC